ACCCCUACGGGAGGCAGCAGUGGGGAAUAUUGGACAAUGGGCGAAAGCCUGAUCCAGCAAUGCCGCGUGUGUGAAGAAGGCCUUAGGGUUGUAAAGCACUUUCAGCAGGGAAGAAAAGCUCGGGGAUAAUACCCCCGGGCCUUGACGGUACCUGCAGAAGAAGCACCGGCUAACUCCGUGCCAGCAGCCGCGGUAA
rnacentral:rRNA from 1 species